rnacentral:rRNA from 1 species
UCAGUCGACUCCUACGGGGAGGCAGCAGUGGGGAAUAUUGCACAAUGGGGGAAACCCUGAUGCAGCCAUGCCGCGUGUGUGAAGAAGGCCUUCGGGUUGUAAAGCACUUUCAGUAGGGAGGAAGGUAGUGUAGUUAACACCUGCAUUAUUUGACGUUACCUACAGAAGAAGCACCGGCUAACUCCGUGCCAGCAGCCGCGGUAAUACGGGAGGGUGCGAGCGUUAAUCGGAAUUACUGGGCGUAAAGCGCAUGCAGGCGGCCUGUUAAGUCAGAUGUGAAAGCCCGGGGCUUAACCUCGGAAUUGCAUUUGAAACUGGCAGGCUAGAGUCUUGUAGAGGGGGGUAGGAAUUUCAGGUGUAGCGGUGAAAUGCGUAGAGAUCUGAAGGAAUACCAGUGGCGAAGGCGGCCCCCUGGACAAAGACUGACGCUCAGAUGCGAAAGCGUGGGGAGCAAACAGGAUUAGAUACCCUGGUAG